CUGUGACAUUAAAAGAAGCACAGGGCACAGAGCAGUGUCCUUUAAGGGGUCAAGGGAAGGGAUGGCUGAAACAAUGCCAGGUUGUAACUGUGUUCUCUAUUUCAGACAGGAAUUCCAGGCUUGGACUGGAGUGAAGCCCUCAAGAUCCACAAAGGCAAAACCAGCCAGAGUCAUCACAACCCACACCUCUGAGUGGGACAGCAGCCCUGGGACCAGCUUCCAGGUCCCUGAGGUGAGGCAGAAGUUCACUCCGAACCCCUCAGCCAUCUUUCAGGCAUCGGCUACCCGGAUUCUGAACGUGUGACUGCCUGUGCUGUGGAAAUUGUGGCUGCUGAGAGGAGCACUGAGUAGGCUCAGGACCCACCACCCCCAGGGCCUGGGCGUGGGCACAGCAGGGCCCUCUGCCGUCAGAGGGGCACAGCCAUCUCAAAGCUGCCACUGGGGCUGCAGGCCGGCACGGAGCAGAGGCACAGGGACUCGGCACCACCCAGCUCAGCUCGGCCUCAGCCAUCCUCUUCUUCCUCUAGAAGUUGUGGAAGGCCUCACGUGUUUUUAAGUGCCAUUUGGCCUUCCUUCAGUUUUUCCAUCUGAAGAACUUGAGGAUCAAUUCAGUUGUGAACUGAAUAGGUCCAUGGGGGCUGAGGAAUAUGGACAUUGUCAGCUCCUUGAGCGAACCAAUAAUGUCCAUUUGGGUGGUUUUCCCAGGAUGCAUGAUAAUUUAUUUAUUUUAUAGCCAAUGAUAAUCCAAAGUGAUGUCCUUGGAACUUCUGCAAGUGGCCCCGCGUUUAAAUUGUAGAAAUCCUAGGUUAUUACCUGCACGUGACUCCUGGUGAUGCUGAGUACCCAGGAAGAAGUUUCCAAAAGAAAUGGAAUAUCAACCAUAGGGCUUCAGUUUCAAAGACAGUUUCUUUAUAGCCAAGAUGAUCCUAAUGCAUUAACAAAACAUUUCUUGGGAUGGGUGAAGUAUUGAAGAAUAAUACUGACCCUUGUGGGAGGUUUCUAAAGACUGAACCCCACAUUUUAUUACUAAUUUCAGUUUUUCCCCCUAACAUGGGUGAAUAGAAGGGAAUUACCUUCUAUUGGCUAAGAAUUUUGAGCAUCUUAGGGAAGGUGGCAUUUGCCUCAUUCCUUGAAAGACCUUAAAAUGUCUACACCAGCCCUUACCCUCUCACACGUACAGUGACUGGGAGCUCACCGCCUGUUGAGGAGGAAGCUCAUUGUCUUUGGAAAGUUCUCUCCUUUCUGGUCAGUGUGGCUGUGUGGAGCAAGCCUGGUCCUUUCUUUGCACAGCAGCCCUCUGAGCAUUUGCAGGGAUUUGCGUCCCUUCAUAAAGAUUAGAGGCACGAGCAUGGAGUUUUUUGUAAGGAAACCUAAGGAUUUCCCCUUGGAUCUUUCUUCCUCUCCAGCCACAAGUGGCUCUAGUCUGAGGAGCAUCUAAGCCACAGGCGGUGGCACUCAGGUUUCAGAGCCACUGCGGACACAGGUGGGGCUGUGCUUCCAGCUCAGGCUGCCCUGGCAGCGUCCCUCAGCGGUGCUGGCUCUGGCGGGCACAGCCCUUCCCCUCAUGCCAGCAAAGGCAAGGCUCUGAUGAAUCACUUUAAAGGGAAGGACUAAAACCAUAUGCUUACACAAAGGGUUCUAUUAUUUCAUUGGUUUGCAUGUGAGGUGUUUCUAAGAGACUGCCUGCUGGGCAUUCUGUGGGAAAUGAACAGAUGAACUGUACAAUCUCAGAUUUUACUCAAAUGCAAAAAUGUACUGUUUCAAUUUCUAUUUCUUUCUUAAAUUAUAAACAUGAAAGCCUUCUCACACUUUUCCUUUUAUCCUUUCUCUUUGUAAUAAGGACUUUGAUGUAGCAUGCCUAUGCUAGUAUGCUUUGGAGGCUUGUCAACCCUAAGCACUUCUCACUGUGGGCUGUAGUCUACACUGGUGCUAUAUGUAGCAUUUCACAGAACGCAUCGACCUUCCCUCUUUCACUUUACCCAUCUCUCCAACCCUCACCCAGGAGCCUAGGAUAAAUGGCCUGCCUUUGAAGCUUGUCUUGGGCUCAGAUACCAUCAGCGUGAGCAAUUUGAACUUCCGUUUUUUCGUCUGUAGAGUGAGGACACUACCACCAACACCUUGCUGGCUUGCUAAGUGCAUUUGUGUUUAUGUGCAGAGUGCUUAGUACAGUAAAUAGCCAACAAAGCACAGCUGUUAGAAUUAUUUUUUCCUGCCUAACCACCCCUUUCCCACCUCCCCAAGGAGGCAGCUCUGUUCCCAUCUGUUGCCACUAACAUUCUCCAACUUGUUGCCUGCCCUGUACUCACCGCCAGUCACCACCCCCUGCCCUCCGUCACACUGCAUGGCUGGCAGUGCUCUUCCCUUCCCAGAGCCUGCUUGGGAAGUCCAUUCAUUCUUUUGCCAUGAGGGACUAAUCAGCUCUGCUGCUUCUGCCAGGACACGCCUGACCUGCGCCUUCCUGGCAAUGUGUUGCUGCGGUAACAGCUGAAGUCCCCACCCCCUCCCCACCCCCUGCCUUCAGACAGGCCUGGCUUCUGGAAGGCAAACUGCAUGCCCAGGAACCUUUCUGCAGUGUACAAUAGACAGCUUUUCACAAAAACCCUAACUCAACAGCCUUCCUUGUUAGGCUUCACUAAUGGUUACAUCUGGGUUCAGAAGAAACUCCCACCUACUCACUCUAGGUCUGAGUUAGCCUAACAUCGUCUCAGGUAGUGACCCAAGAAGCAACUGAGACCAGUCUCAGCCAUGUGGUCCCAUCCCACAGCUAUCUUACACACGUGUGUAAUACACACAGAUGAAGACAGGACAUGCACUGGAAUAUUAACAGUGGUUAUCUCUGAGAAUGGGGUCAUGGGUAAUUUUUACUUUUUUACAUAUUGGCAAAAUUUCUAGAAAAUAAGCAUUUUUGUAUUAAUUCUGUAAAAGUUUUUGAAAAUAAAAAGCAGUUCAAUCUGCUAGCUACUUUCAGCCAAAA